rnacentral:lncRNA from 1 species
GAAGAGACCGGAGGCCUUUUCUAAAUGAGCUGUUUGGAGUUUGAAUUUCUAGAUAACUCCCUCCCCUAAUGGCUUCUUGUUGUUUCGUGAAAAUGAGUGUUGCCAUAGUUGUAGUAGGGACGAGAGACAAAGAAGUUUGUCGGAUCUUUAUGCCUCGUUCUAAAAACCCCACCUCUCUAUAAUACUCCCCCAUCUUAAUCGAUCCUCUUGGAAAUCACCUCCUCUACCCUUGAAACCCCAUCUCUCUCUCUUUUUCUCCCUCUCUCCAUUUCAUAAGAAGACUGCUUCUCAUCUCCUCUUUCAUCGGUGCAUUUUUAGAUCAGGAUCACGUUUACUUCAUCCCCUCCUCUCCCCGGUUUGAGACUCUCUCUCUCUCUCUAGAAUUUGUCAAUACAAGGUUGGAUCUUUCUUCUCUCUAGGGUUGGACCCUGCGAAAAAUUUGGGGACUUGGGGUAUUUCUUUGCCUGGCUUCAGCACUUGAGUUUUCUCUACCCAUCGUUGUUUCUUCAAUAGAAAUGCUCCAUUUCUCACUUUCCUAGCAUCUAGAAAGAGAGAAGAGGGAGAGAGGUUGGGUUAAUGGGGAUCAAGUUCAUGAAGCUCCAUAUGGUUCCAUGGUGCUUCCAGGUGAUGGGGAGCUACAUUUCAUGCGUCCAGUUCCCUACAAAACCUCCUCUUGUGACUGUUAAGCUGAUUCAAUCUGAUGGUGUUGUGAAGAUCUAGGGUUUUACAAGAGGGGCAGAAGAUUUGGGCUUAGGAAGAGGAGAGAGAGAGAGAGAGCAUACGAUCAUGGAUCAAAGAGAGAGAAGAGGUAGAUUUGGAGUUUUAUAUGUUAAAAUUAUUAAAGUGUAUUGGUGGUGGUUAGUAGAUGUUGUUGCAAGUGGAUAGUUUUUGUAGUAAAUAUGGUUGGAAAAAACUUUUAUUUAAAUAGAG